UCUUCCUCAUAAGCUGCUGCGACGCCAUUACAGCAAGGGGGGGAGAGGAGAUUCACAAACCCUCACCAUUCCUUCCAACUACCAUAACUUCCUCAUCCGGGCUCCGAUCGCCGCACCGUUUGCGGCCACGCGUCGGGCUCGUCGAGCUCUUCAAUUCUAUCCAAACAAAACAGGGUCCACUAGACUUGAUUUCUUGUGGGUAUUGCCCAAGGAUCAGUGGGUAAAGGUAGUGUGUAUGUGAAUGUUGAUGCUUGUUGGAGGCUUGUUGGUGAUCAAGCUUGGUUUGGGGCUGUUUGUUUGAGUUUGGAGGGGCUGUAAUUUUGAGUUGUGAGGCUGCCUUGGGUGAACUAAGUGAUCGGCCAAGGUAUGGUUUAAGUUUCGCACGUUUAAUAUUUACGGUGUUGUGAAAACUUAGGUUAGAGGAACCAUAGGAUAAGUUGAACUGUUAAUUGCAUUUAAUGAGUAGUUUGUAAUGUUGUUGGAGUAAAUUGUUGAUGAACAUAGAUUGGAAUUUUGAGGUAUUGAUGUUAUUAAUUUCAUGCUUUUGGACUUGCUUAUAAUGGGUUAUAUUGAAGUUGAUAUUGAUGAAUUAUGGUUGGUGAUUGUUAAUAAAUGGUUGUUAUGUCAAGUUGAUGGAUUAACAUGUAUGAAGAAUUGACUUAUGUUAAUGGCAUUUAAUUAGUAUAUGUUGAUGGAAGGUUGAUAAAUAUAUGAUGAGAAUUGGUAUAGGUGAAGAAUUGAUGUGAACAAAGGAAAAGUUAUUGAUGUAUGAGGUAAAAGUGGAUAAUUUUGAUGUUCUAGGUUGGUUGAGUUGAUUAAAGCUUAUAUUGGUAAUGGUUGUUGAUGAAUUGAGUUGAUAUGGUUUUACAAUGCAAGUUUUAAAUGGUAAGAAACUUAAGUUGGAGAAAAAGAGGUUUUGUUGAAAGUGGUUAAAACCAAAUUUUGAUGAACUUUAGACAUUCAUAAUAUUCUCCUCAAAUUUUGGAUUGGGUUGUGGUUUGUUGCAAAUAAAAGAUAGUUUCAAGAGCUUUUGAUUGAUAUCAACUCUGUGGAAAACGGAAUUUUGUGGAGAAAGUUA